rnacentral:rRNA from 1 species
UACGUAGGGUGCGAGCGUUGUCCGGAAUUAUUGGGCGUAAAGAGCGUGUAGGCGGUUCGGUAAGUCUGCUGUGAAAUCCUGGGGCUCAACCCCGGGCGUGCAGCGGAUACUGCCGGGCUAGAGGGUGGGAGAGGCGAGUGGAAUUCGGAGUGUAGCGGUGAAAUGCGCAGAUAUUCGGAGGAACACCAGUAGCGAAGGCGGCUCUCUGGGCCACAACUGACGCUGAGACGCGAAAGCGUGGGGAGCGAACAGG